rfam:Ovis aries breed Texel chromosome 4, whole genome shotgun sequence.
UCCCUGGUGGUCCAGUGGUUAGAUUCUGCACUCCCAAUGCAGGGGGCAAGGGUUCGAUCCCGCAUCAGGGAA